AGCGAACGCUGGCGGCAGGCUUAACACAUGCAAGUCGAACGCCCCGUAAGGGGAGUGGCAGACAGGUGAGUAACACGUGGGAACGUACCCUUUGGUUCGGAAUAACUUAGGGAAACUCAAGCUAAUACCGGAUAAGCCCUUAGGGGGACAGGUUUACUGCCGAAGGAUCGGCCCGCGUCUGAUUAGCUAGUUGGUGAGGUAAUGGCUCAACAAGGCGGCGAUCAGCACCAGGGCUGAGAGGAUGAUCAGCCACACUGGGACUGAGACACGGCCCAGACUCCUACGGGGGGCAGCAGUAGGGAAUAUUGGACAAUGGGGGCAACCCUGAUCCAGCCGUGCCGCGUGAGUGAUGAAGGCCUUAGGGUUGUAAAGCUCUUUUACCCGGGACGAUAAUGACUGUACCGGGAGAAUAAGCCCCGGCUAACUUCGUGCCAGCCGCCGCCGUAA
rnacentral:rRNA from 1 species